rnacentral:lncRNA from 1 species
CCAGAUACAUCAAUUGAAUGGAUACCAACUGUCAUAUUCCUGACUUAAAACAGCCAUUUUCGUAUGAAGAAAAGGUGGAUUAUACCUGGUUUAUAGCUAGCUACACCUCUCACUUGUAUGACAGUAGCACAUAAUUCCCUUACAUUAACAACGUAGUAUGAAAAAAACUAACAUAUAUAAUGAUUAAAAUGUCUAAAAUAGGGGCACAGCAGCCAACAUUGUCUUU